rnacentral:rRNA from 1 species
CAGCCGCCGCGGGAAUACGUAGGGGCAAGCGUUGUCCGGAAUUAUUGGGCGUAAAGGGCUCGCAGGCGGUUUCUUAAGUCUGAUGUGAAAGCCCCCGGCUCAACCGGGGAGGGUCAUUGGAAACUGGGAAACUUGAGUGCAGAAGAGGAGAGUGGAAUUCCACGUGUAGCGGUGAAAUGCGUAGAGAUGUGGAGGAACACCAGUGGCGAAGGCGACUCUCUGGUCUGUAACUGACGCUGAGGAGCGAAAGCGUGGGGAGCGAACAGGAUUAGAUACCCCCGUAGUCCCUGUCUCUUAUACC